AUGAGGUUCUCUGCUCAGCUUCUGGGGCUGCUUGUGCUCUGGAUCCCUGAUCUCCUACAUAGUAAUGGCAUCACUUAUUUGUAUUGGUAUCUGCAGAGGCCAGGCCAGUCUCCUCAGCUCCUGAUAUAUCGGGUGUCCAAUCUGGCCUCAGGAGUCCCAAACAGGUUCAGUGGCAGUGAGUCAGGAACUGAUUUCACACUGAGAAUCAGCAGAGUGGAGGCUGAGGAUGUGGGUGUUUAUUACUGUGCUCAACUGCUAGAACUCCCUCC